UACGGGAGGGGGCUAGCGUUGUUCGGAAUUACUGGGCGUAAAGCGCGCGUAUGGCGGCUUUGUAAGUUAGAGGAUGAAGCCCGGAGCCUCAACUCCGGAACUGCCUUUAAGACUGCAUCGCUAGAACGAUGGAGAGGUAAGUGGAAUUCCGAGUGUAGAGGUGAAAGUUCGAUAGAUAUUCGGAAGAACACCAGUGGCGAAGGCGACUUACUGGACAUCUGUUGACGCUGAGGUGCGAAAGCGUGGGGAGCAAACAGG
rnacentral:rRNA from 1 species